rnacentral:sRNA from 1 species
GCGAUUGUAAAACGUGAAGGAUAACGUUGCGUAAGCAACGGCCCGUAGGGCGAGGCAAAGCCGAGUCAUCCUGCACGACCCACCA